rnacentral:tRNA from 1 species
GUAACCGAUCAUGGGGAUGUAGCUCAGAUGGUAGAGCGCUCGCUUAGCAUGCGAGAGGUACGGGGAUCGAUACCCCGCAUCUCCAU